ACGUAAUAGAUACCCUGGUAGUCCACGCCCUAAACGAUGUCUACUAGUUGUCGGGUUUUAAUUAACUUGGUAACGCAGCUAAACGCGUGAAAGUAGACCGCCUGGGGAGUACGGUCGCAAGAUUAAAACUCAAAGGAAUUGACGGGGACCCGCACAAGCGGUGGAUGAUGUGGAUUAAUUCGAUGCAACGCGAAAAACCUUACCUACCCUUGACAUGGCAGGAAUCCCGAAGAGAUUUGGGAGUGCUCGAAAGAGAACCUGCACACGGGUGCUGCAUGGCUGUCGUCAGCUCGUGUCGUGAGAUGUUGGGUUAAGUCCCGCAACGAGCGCAACCCUUGUCAUUAGUUGCUACGAAAGAGCACUCUAAUGAGACUGCCGGUGACAAACCGGAGGAAGGUGGGGAUGACGUCAAGUCCUCAUGGCCCUUAUGGGUAGGGCUUCACACGUCAUACAAUGGUACAUACAGAGGGCCGCCAACCCGGCGAGGGGGAGCUAAUCCCAGAAAGUGUAUCGUAGUCCGGAUUGUAGUCUGCAACUC
rnacentral:rRNA from 1 species